AGCUGGAAACACCACUUUAUCAAAGAGAAUUUCCCUUUAGCUUAGCAAUAUGCUGCAGCUCUCAAAAGAUUGGAUCUGAAAGAAAGAGACGGAGGAGAAUGAGAGCCAGAGACAGAGAUGCAGACAAGGGAGGGAAGGGGAAAAAAGACUUUUCUUUUCUUUUCUUUUUUUUCUUUCUAGAGGAAUUCUGCCCAGACUCUCCAGCAGUUGGUAGCAGGCAGGCUUUCUCCUGUGUCGCCUGGAAAAGUUGCAAAAUUGCUCUUCACCUGUAAGAACAUGCUUUUUUAUCUUCCAGUCUCUUCUUGUCAAUUUGGAAAUUGCAGACAGCCCGGCUCAGGCAUUAAGAGAAAUUGAUUAGUGACAAGGAAGAGAAGAAAACAUUGCUGGUCAGUAGGCCACGGUAUUCAAGUCCCUCAGAUAAAUGGCUCCUGGGAGGAGAGAACACAUCCAAUGUAAUCCUGACGUAUGCAGAAUUGAGUUCGGUUUGAACCCAGCCAUCAAGGGAUGAAAGCAUUAGGGCCAGAACUCAGGGCCACCAUCUACCAACCAGCUCCACGAUGUGUCCAGCCAUGGAAGAACCCGGUGGCCAAGCGUGAUUAUGCAACCGGUGGGCAGUGACUGAGGACAUGGUGUCCUUGGGAGCAGAGCUCCAUCCCGGGGAAAGGAAAGAGAACUGGGGAUUAAACCUAGAGUCUCACAGAGGCUAGUCAAGUGUUCUGCCGCUGAGCUUUCUUCCGAGUGCAAUGUACGGCUUCUCCUGGGGUCGACACAUAAAGGGCAGCUCCUAUUGCUGUAAUGGUUCAGAUAUCCUUGUCACCUGUGGCAAUGGGUGGCUCUUUUCCUAGUCGUCCCUUCUACCAGAGGUCAAGAGUGUUGGCUUAUUUCCAGUGUCAUUUCAAUGUGCUUCACAGGAACUCCAAGUCUCUGUCUUCCCUUCUUAUGUGGAUGCUAAAUGGUCAUGAAAUCAUCACCAUCAUCAUCAUCAUCACCACCACCACCAUCAUCAUCACCACCACCACCAUCAUCAUCAUCACCAUCAUCAUCAUCAUCAUCACCACCAUCACCACCACCACCAUCAUCAUUAUCAUCAUCACCAUCAUCAUCAUCACCACCACCAUCACCACCAUCAUCAUCAUCAUCAUCACCAUCAUCAUCAUCAUUGGCAGCGGUGGCAGCGGUAGCAGCAGCAGCAAGAUUUUGUAUUGGGAGGGUCCUUCCACAUGCUACAGGGGACAGAAGGUCAUCAGAUGUUGGCCUAGGGAUUAUAGCAUGAAGUGUUCCUCUUCUCGUAGGAUUUUAAACCUUUCGAGGAUUAAAACUGUCAUUCUAAUAGCUUGUUUCAGACUUACCCAUCAUCUACAACAUGCGGAAAAGCAGACUUAUAGAAGUCACCUAACUAAAGCCCAAUGUGAUGACCAGGGAAGUUGUUUUGAAGUAGGGCAGAUACUUUUUGAGACAUUAAAGAAAGGCACAAACUUGUUUCUAUUACACAUACAUUCUUGGAGCCUUUAGUUUGAACCUGGAACUCUGUUAGAGUCUGUGGGAACAACAUAGGCAGAAGACAUAGUCCUUACCUCCAGGAAGCUUCUUGGGCAAAGAACCAGUGUUCAGAUAUGGGCUUCAUCAACUUAAUGAAGACAGUUAACAUUUACCUUUAUUGUAGUGCAAAACAAAUGUAAUAAAAACAUAGGAUAUAGGGUUCGAGUGAAGGAGAAAAAUCACGUGAUUGGGAGACAAUGGAAAUCCUCCCAGAUGUCAGACACCCUUGGUGUUGGAGCUGGAGAAAAGCUGCUUGGGCAAUUCCCUGGCCCUGUUUGUCUCUGCCUGCAGCACUCUGGCCUCCUCUGAGUCAGUCAGCUCUUAUCUGACUGCUUAUCCAUUCCAUGAUCUAGCUCACCAGGCUGCAGAUUCCAUGAAGGAUGCUGUAUAUCCCUCUCUGAUUUCUCCCCCAUUAAAUAUCCUACAUAGAGACCAUUGCCCAGUACAGUACACAUUGUCAAUAAAAAGUCUUUAUGGCUGGACAAA
rnacentral:lncRNA from 1 species